GACGAACGCUGGCGGCGUGCUUAACACAUGCAAGUCGAACGGAAAGGCCCUGCUUUUGUGGGGUGCUCGAGUGGCGAACGGGUGAGUAACACGUGAGUAACCUGCCCUUGACUUUGUGAUAACUUCAGGAAACUGGGGCUAAUACCGGAUAGGAGCUCCUGCUGCAUGGUGGGGGUUGGACAGUUUCGGCGGUUGGGGAUGGACUCGCGGCUUAUCAGCUUGUUGGUGGGGUAGUGUCUUACCAAGGCUUUGACGGGUAGCCGGCCUGAGAGGGUGACCGGCCACAUUGGGACUGAGAUACGGCCCAGACUCCUACGGGAGGCAGCAGUGGGGAAUAUUGCACAAUGGGCGGAAGCCUGAUGCAGAAACGCCGCGUGCGGGAUGACGGCCUUCGGGUUGUAAACCGCUUUCGCCUGUGACGAAGCGUGAGUGACGGUAAUGGGUAAAGAAGCACCGGCUAACUACGUG
rnacentral:rRNA from 1 species